GUAGUAUCGCACUAGUACGCAGUAGCAGUAAUAUCGCACUAGUAAGCAAUAGAGGUAGUAUUCCUUCUCAUAAUCGAUACAUGUGCAAUAUUGUAUGGAUUUCACAGGAGAAGGACAGAAAAGCAGUCGUGUUUGUGAUACUCAGUCUCAUUUUAGAGUGUUCCAUCGGAGUGUUGCGACAGACGAUAAAAGACCCAACAAACAUGUGCCAUGACAUUCAGGCCAUUCUGACCACUGCUGUUUGGAAGAACUGGUAAACUGCACUCUGCAAUCUAUCUUAACAAUGCGUCCUUUUGGAAACAAUAAAUGUAGUGCGUUAAUUUCGUUCACCACAUGUGUUUCUGAAAACAGCAUGUUGUGUGACGUCGCCAUUUACCUGAGUAAAGACAAAUUGUUCCAACAACUAAACGACGUUUGUACAUAGAACAUGGUGAAUCGGAUAUAAGUGUUGAUCACAAAGACAUAAUUCAUAUCAUAGUUAAACGUGCUCGUGUUAUUACCGAGUUAUUAGUAUCGACAUGUUUAUAUUGAUAAAUGUUGCUUCAUAAUAAAACAAAUCAUUUGAG